AUUGAACGCUGGCAGCAGGCCUAACACAUGCAAGUCGAGCGGAUGAAGGGAGCUUGCUCCUGGAUUCAGCGGCGGACGGGGGAGUAAUGCCUAGGAAUCUGCCUGGUAGUGGGGGAUAACGUCCGGAAACGGGCGCUAAUACCGCAUACGUCCUGAGGGAGAAAGUGGGGGAUCUUCGGACCUCACGCUAUCAGAUGAGCCUAGGUCGGAUUAGCUAGUUGGUGGGGUAAAGGCCUACCAAGGCGACGAUCCGUAACUGGUCUGAGAGGAUGAUCAGUCACACUGGAACUGAGACACGGUCCAGACUCCUACGGGAGGCAGCAGUGGGGAAUAUUGGACAAUGGGCGAAAGCCUGAUCCAGCCAUGCCGCGUGUGUGAAGAAGGUCUUCGGAUUGUAAAGCACUUUAAGUUGGGAGGAAGGGCAGUAAGUUAAUACCUUGCUGUUUUGACGUUACCAACAGAAUAAGCACCGGCUAACUUCGUG
rnacentral:rRNA from 1 species